rnacentral:rRNA from 1 species
UUUGUGUCUCCGUCUCGUGGCUCGCCUACUUCGCCUCGAUUU